rnacentral:lncRNA from 1 species
CCCAACCUUCCUCUGCAGCGCCCCUACCGACCCGCGCUCCGCAGCUCCUGAGGGCUUUCGAGCCCAGAUGGUCAUCUGAGACGAGAGGUGGCGGCGAAGGAGAGUCUCGCCUGUCACGCUCCCGGAGCAGGGGCUUCAUGAGGUGGCCAUGGAAACAGCCUGGCAGACUCCCAUCUCUCCUGGUGCCAUCUCCGGAGCGGAAAGUGGAGCGCCCCGCUGGCGACCAAGGCCGCACUGAGAGCCCUGGUUUGGUCAACAGUUGGGCUCCAAGAAGUCUCUUCCUUUCACUCUGCUGAGUGAAGCCCUUCCUGCCCUCAGGCUGGACCAUGGCUUCCAUGCUGCCCCUCUUUUCAAGGCUGCUUGUCUACAGUUCUACAGGUUUCUAGGCCCUUGGUGAGUGAAGAGCAGUUCAUUACGAAAUGACCUCCAAGAACAAGGCUCAGCAUUCUCUGAAAUCUCAUGAAGCAGUGUAACCAGCUCUCAAGUAUCUUCCUGUGAACUAGCCACAGGGAGCCCUGGUAUUCCUUGAACAUGCAUACCUUUCCCAGCGUGAGGGACAUGGACCGUGCCGUGCGAGGGACCCCAUCUUCUGCAGCAGGAGGGAGCAGAGAAGAGAACACAGGUUCAGGGUACAUGUGCAGGUGCAUUACAUAAACUUGUCAUGAAGAUUUGUUGUACAGAUUAUUUCGUCACCCAGCCACCCUCAUCAGCCAGAGUUCAAACCCUGACAGUGCCCAUGGAGAGAUCUGGUCCAAGGCACCAACCUCUUCCUGCUGGACUGAGAAAGAGCCUCCUACUGUGUCUCUCUUUACCUCAGCUUUUGCACACCUCCAAUAUAUUGUCCACUGAAGUCAGAAUAAUCUAAAAAUAAAGGCUGAUUACCUCAUGUGGUAUAAACUUA